CCACCAUCCCUCCAUGGCUCCCCGCCCAGUGCCUUCCAAGGUCACCCAUGGAUCUGUACCCACCGGCCACCACCAUCCAUGGCUCCUCCGGUAUUGGGACACGACGUCGUCCCAUCUCCGUUCUAGACAUCACCAAGUGACACCAACGCCUGGCCUGCUCCUCCACCACGGCCCAGCUCGGACCACGCCGCUAUCGAUGCCGCCGUUGAGAAUCCACCCCAACUCAAGCAGUUCACCGGCGUCAUGGAGGAAGCACCGAGCAGCCGCAUUGCAAAUAUGAGGAACAUCAUCAGUGCAAGAAGUCCAGAUUCACUCGACGGCGAGAAAUAGUCUCAUAUUUUUGUUCCAAAUAGUAUGUACCACUCCCCACUUUGAUACUUAUGAACACCCAUCUGAGAUCUCCUUUUCCUUGUUACAGUUCAUCCAGAUCAGUAGUACGAUUUAAGGUUCAUGAUCCAGCUAUAAGAGAGGUGUAAUAUCCUCUGCCCUUGACAUGGGCAAGCAUACAAUUGGUUGUUCCUGCUGGAGAAGGUUUUUGGGAAGAAUUAAACGAACACCAUCAGUGCAACAUAGAGGCAAAAGCAGGUGGUUGAGUUUGCAAUUCAUUCUUAUUAGGAGCAAAAUUCAAGAGUCGGGAUCUAUGAGAUAUGCAAGAGCCUCUAAUCAAGG